rnacentral:lncRNA from 1 species
GUGCUUCAGAGGACACUAUUUAAAAAGUCAAAAGGACUCAGAAUUGGGGAAAAUAUUUGCAAGUCAUAUCUGAUAACGGUCUGGUAUACAAAAUAUAUAAAGAAUUUUUAUAGGCUGGGCAUGAUGGCUCACACCUGUAAUCUCAGCACUUUGGGAGGCCAAGGCAGGAGAAUUGCUUGAGGCCAGAGUUUGAGACUAGCCUAGGCAACAUAGUGAGACCCUGUCUCUACAAAAAAUUUAAAAAAAAAUUAGCUGGGGCAUGGUGGUACACACCUAUAGUCCCAGCUACUUGGGAGGCUGGAGCUGGAGGAUCUCUGGAUUAUAUGAAAUGUCCAGAAUAGACAGAGAGACAGAAAGUUGAUGAGUGGCUUUCAGGGGCUGAAGGGAAGUGGAGUGACUGCUAAUUGAUUCAGGGUUUCCUUCUGGGGUGAUUAAAUAUGUUCUCGAAUUAAAUAGGGGUGAUAUUGCAUAACCUUGUGAAUAUACUGAAAGUCACUAAAUUAUACACUUUAAAGAGGUAAAUUUUACGGUACUUGAAUUAUGUCUUUAAGAAAAAUCUCAAAAGAUUUUUUUCUCUAGAUCCCCUGGCUGGAACAAGUUCCUUAAAUUGUGAUUCAGCUCUUCACCUCGAUGCUGUCCACCGCGUCUGAGACCUCCCUUUGGGGCCAGACUCCUCCUGAGGGGGGUGCUUUACCUCAGGGGCACCAUGAAUCUUUCAAACAGUCUCCUAGGAAAUAGACCGCAUAUUGGCCUUAAGGAGGUAUGUCAACUUGUAAGUCAAAAUAAGUGUCUCAGUCCUGACCACUGCGCUUCCCUGAUAAGCCAGCCCAGGAUGAGAUGCCCCACCCUGGCCACCAGAUUCCUCUCUCCAAGUCACUGCAUGGGGACACAGACAGCCCACACUGGGCUGUCUGCUCCAAAGCUGGAGUGCUUUCAAUAACUCAAUGCAGCGUGUCCAGAAACUGAAGGCUAUUCCUGAAUGCUGACUCUCCAGUGGCUGGGCCCAUUAGCUCUGGGUUCACCUCCUAGGUAGCACUGUCCCUGCUCCUGGAGUUC